rnacentral:rRNA from 1 species
AGCAGCCGCGGUAAUUCCAGCUCCAAUAGCGUAUAUUAAAGUUGUUGCAGCUAAAAAGCUCGUAGUUGAAUUUCGGGAUCAAUAUAUCGGUCGUGCCUCUGGUACGUACUGGUAUCAUUGAUUUCUCCCUUCUGACGAACCAUGAUUUCAUUUAUUUGGUGUCAUGGGGAGUUAGGACUGUUACUUUGAAAAAAUUAGAGUGUUUAAAGCAGGCAUUAGCUUGAAUACAUUAGCAUGGAAUAAUGAAAUAGGACGUUUGACCCUAUUUUGUUGGUUUCUAGGAUCGACGUAAUGAUUAAUAGGGAUAGUUGGGGGCAUUAGUAUUCAAUUGUCAGAGGUGAAAUUCUUGGAUUUAUUGAAGACUAACUACUGCGAAAGCAUUUGCCAAGGAUGUUUUCAUUAAUCAAGAACGAAAGUUAGGGGAUCGAAGACGAUCAGAUACCGUCGUAGUCUUAACCAUAAACUAUGCCGACUAGGGAUCGGAUGAUGUUAAUUUUAUAAUGACUCA